ACACAUUUAUAUAAAACAUAGAAUUUUACAGUUGCCAAAUUGUAAACAAUCAAAUUUAUAUAUAUAAAGGAGUGAAAUACAUGCAAAUACAUUUACAUUAUACUUAAAACUUUUUAAAAUUUUUACUUCAUAUAAAUAAGUAAUUUUUCUUAGAUACCUAAUACACAUCUAAAUGAACUACAAAGGAUUAUUUGCUAUUUCCUUAGUCAUGAUGGCAUUAUUAAGUGUUAUGGUUGAAGCUGAUAUUGAGGCGCAUCCUGCAGAACCUGAGGAGGGACAAGGAAGGCACGGAUUUAUUGAAAGAAUGUGCCCUCGUGUGACAUGCUCACUUUCCUGUAGCAAAUAUAGACGUAGAAACGGAUGUUGUUAUUGCCAAUGCUGGGAUGAUUGGGACAAAAAAUUUUGAUAAAUUAUUUAAGUGUAAAAUUUACGCAAAAACAUGUUUAUACCAUUUUUCCUAUUAUUAAUUUUCUAUUAUAUAUUACUUGAAAAAAAAAAUUAUAUAAGAGCAUUUUUUGUGAAAUUCUGAAUUUAAACUGCUAUUAAAUAUAUGAUUUUAUUUUAAUAAAAAUCAGUUGGCACUGAAAAAA